GCUUACGGCCACCCGGCCUGAGUACGCCUGAUCUCGUCUGAUCUCGGAAGCUAAGCAGGGGUUCGGGCCUGGUUAGUACUUGGAUGGGAGACCGCCUAGGAAAUACCAGGUGCUGUAAGCU
rnacentral:rRNA from 1 species